GUUGUGGGAGCAAGAGCCCGGAGAUGGAUUCUGAGACAUGAAUCCAGGCCCUACGGGGCGCAGCAGGCGCGAAAACUUUACAAUGCGGGAAACCGUGAUAAGGGAACCCCGAGUGCCCGUAGAAUCGGGCUGUUGAUCUGUGUAAAAAGCAGCGUAAAGAAAGGGCCGGGCAAGACCGGUGCCAGCCGCCGCGGUAAUACCGGCGGCUCGAGUGGUGGCCACUAUUACUGGGCUUAAAGCGUUCGUAGCUGGGUUGUUAAGUCUCUUGGGAAAUCCACCGGCUCAACCGAUGGGCGACCAGGGGAAACUGGCAUUCUAGGGACCGGGAGAGGUGAGAGGUACUCCAGGGGUAGGAGUGAAAUCCUGUAAUCCUUGGGGGACCACCGYUGGCGAAGGCAUCUCACCAGAACGGCUCCGACAGUGAGGAACGAAAGCUGGGGGAGCAAACCGGAUUAGAUACCCGGGUAGUCCCAGCUGUAAACUAUGGC
rnacentral:rRNA from 1 species